AAGUCGUAACAAGGUCUCCGUAGGUGAACCUGCGGAGGGAUCAUUAAAACGUAUCCACGUAUAAACCUUUGUGAACCUGUUUUUAACGAACGUGGUGAUAGCGCCAAAGAACUGGGUAGAACGAUCAAGAGGUAGUUUUACACAGGAGCUGUCAUUUCUUUCACGUCUCUUAUUUUUAAACUCAUAUUAACCCUAUGUAACCAUAUAUUUAUGUACAAAACGAGUCUUAUGUUAACGCAUUUGGCUUGAAAAUAAAAUACGUAAUUAUACGCACAACUCUUAGCAACGGAUAUCUAGGCUCUC
rnacentral:misc_RNA from 1 species